CCAAUUCGGGUACGGUUCCGACCCCCCCGAACCCGGCUUCCGUGUCCCCCUAUUACCCCCCCCCCCUCUCUUCUGAUGGUUCUGGAAGGUUCUGGACUCAAUGAGGGAUCUAGAACUGGAGAUCUAGAACCAGAACCAGAGUGGGGGGGGUUGGACCCAGAACUUGGGGGUUAAGGGAGGGAAUUGGACCCAAAGUUAAUGGGAUCCAGAACCAAAGGGGAUCCGGAACGGUUCUGGAAGGUUCUGGACCCAAUAAGGGAUCUAGAACUGGAGAUAUGGAACCAAAAGGGGGGGUUGGACCUAGAACUUGGGGGUGGGGGGGGAAUUGGACCCGAACUUAAUGGGAUCCAGAACCAAAGGGGGAUCCGGAACCAAGAGGGGGAUUCUGGAAGGUUCUGGACCCAAUGAGGGAUCUAGAACCGGAGAUAUGGAACCAAAAGGGGGUUUGGACCCAGAACUUGGGGGUUAAGGGGGGGAAUUGGACCCAAAGUUAAUGGGGUCCAGAACCAAAGGGGGAUCCGGAACCUAAAGGGGGUUCUGGAGGGUUCUGGGCCCAAUAAUGGAUCUAGAACCGGAGAUAUGGAACCAGAACCAGAGGGGGGGGUGGACCCAGAACUUGGGGGUUAAGGGAGGGAAUUGGACCCAAAGUUAAUGGGAUCCAGAACCAAAGGGGGAUCCGGAACCUAAAGGGGGUUCUGGAAGGUUCUGGACCCAAUAAUGGAUCUAGAACUAGAGAUACGGAACCAGAAGGGAUUUGGACCCAGAACUUGGGGUGAUCAGGGCCGGAACCGAACCCAAAGUUAAUGGGAUCGGAGGAACCAAAGUGGGAUUCUGGGGGAAGGGUUCUGGACCCAAUAAUGGAUCUAGAACCAGAGAUACAGAACCAGAAGGGAUUUGGACCCAGAACCUGGGGGGAUCAGGGCCGGAACCGGACCCAAACCCCCCCCACCCCAUUAAUUCCUGCCCCGGUUCUGGGUCUGGGCAGAGUAAGAACCAGAAGAAGCAGCGCUCGGCCGCGUUGAUCCGGAACCAGGAGGAUUUUGGGUCGGUUCCUCAUUCCUUCGUGUUCCAUCGGGGUCGAGUGGGUCGGAACGUCCGGCAGCUCUCCAUGGAUCUAAGGAAGGUUAUGGAGCCAUAUACAGCCAGGGCAUUAAAGG
rnacentral:lncRNA from 1 species